UUAAGCGACUAAGCGUACACGGUGGAUGCCCUGGCAGUCAGAGGCGAUGAAGGACGUGCUAAUCUGCGAUAAGCGUCGGUAAGGUGAUAUGAACCGUUAUAACCGGCGAUUUCCGAAUGGGGAAACCCAGUGUGAUUCGUCACACUAUCAUUAACUGAAUCCAUAGGUUAAUGAGGCGAACCGGGGGAACUGAAACAUCUAAGUACCCCGAGGAAAAGAAAUCAACCGAGAUUCCCCCAGUAGCGGCGAGCGAACGGGGAGGAGCCCAGAGCCUGAAUCAGUGUGUGUGUUAGUGGAAGCGUCUGGAAAGGCGCGCGAUACAGGGUGACAGCCCCGUACACAAAAAUGCACAUAUUGUGAGCUCGAUGAGUAGGGCGGGACACGUGGUAUCCUGUCUGAAUAUGGGGGGACCAUCCUCCAAGGCUAAAUACUCCUGACUGACCGAUAGUGAACCAGUACCGUGAGGGAAAGGCGAAAAGAACCCCGGCGAGGGGAGUGAAAAAGAACCUGAAACCGUGUACGUACAAGCAGUGGGAGCACGCUUAGGCGUGUGACUGCGUACCUUUUGUAUAAUGGGUCAGCGACUUAUAUUCUGUAGCAAGGUUAACCGAAUAGGGGAGCCGAAGGGAAACCGAGUCUUAACUGGGCGUUAAGUUGCAGGGUAUAGACCCGAAACCCGGUGAUCUAGCCAUGGGCAGGUUGAAGGUUGGGUAACACUAACUGGAGGACCGAACCGACUAAUGUUGAAAAAUUAGCGGAUGACUUGUGGCUGGGGGUGAAAGGCCAAUCAAACCGGGAGAUAGCUGGUUCUCCCCGAAAGCUAUUUAGGUAGCGCCUCGUGAAUUCAUCUCCGGGGGUAGAGCACUGUUUCGGCAAGGGGGUCAUCCCGACUUACCAACCCGAUGCAAACUGCGAAUACCGGAGAAUGUUAUCACGGGAGACACACGGCGGGUGCUAACGUCCGUCGUGAAGAGGGAAACAACCCAGACCGCCAGCUAAGGUCCCAAAGUCAUGGUUAAGUGGGAAACGAUGUGGGAAGGCCCAGACAGCCAGGAUGUUGGCUUAGAAGCAGCCAUCAUUUAAAGAAAGCGUAAUAGCUCACUGGUCGAGUCGGCCUGCGCGGAAGAUGUAACGGGGCUAAACCAUGCACCGAAGCUGCGGCAGCGACGCUUAUGCGUUGUUGGGUAGGGGAGCGUUCUGUAAGCCUGCGAAGGUGUGCUGUGAGGCAUGCUGGAGGUAUCAGAAGUGCGAAUGCUGACAUAAGUAACGAUAAAGCGGGUGAAAAGCCCGCUCGCCGGAAGACCAAGGGUUCCUGUCCAACGUUAAUCGGGGCAGGGUGAGUCGACCCCUAAGGCGAGGCCGAAAGGCGUAGUCGAUGGGAAACAGGUUAAUAUUCCUGUACUUGGUGUUACUGCGAAGGGGGGACGGAGAAGGCUAUGUUGGCCGGGCGACGGUUGUCCCGGUUUAAGCGUGUAGGCUGGUUUUCCAGGCAAAUCCGGAAAAUCAAGGCUGAGGCGUGAUGACGAGGCACUACGGUGCUGAAGCAACAAAUGCCCUGCUUCCAGGAAAAGCCUCUAAGCAUCAGGUAACAUCAAAUCGUACCCCAAACCGACACAGGUGGUCAGGUAGAGAAUACCAAGGCGCUUGAGAGAACUCGGGUGAAGGAACUAGGCAAAAUGGUGCCGUAACUUCGGGAGAAGGCACGCUGAUAUGUAGGUGAGGUCCCUCGCGGAUGGAGCUGAAAUCAGUCGAAGAUACCAGCUGGCUGCAACUGUUUAUUAAAAACACAGCACUGUGCAAACACGAAAGUGGACGUAUACGGUGUGACGCCUGCCCGGUGCCGGAAGGUUAAUUGAUGGGGUUAGCCGCAAGGCGAAGCUCUUGAUCGAAGCCCCGGUAAACGGCGGCCGUAACUAUAACGGUCCUAAGGUAGCGAAAUUCCUUGUCGGGUAAGUUCCGACCUGCACGAAUGGCGUAAUGAUGGCCAGGCUGUCUCCACCCGAGACUCAGUGAAAUUGAACUCGCUGUGAAGAUGCAGUGUACCCGCGGCAAGACGGAAAGACCCCGUGAACCUUUACUAUAGCUUGACACUGAACAUUGAGCCUUGAUGUGUAGGAUAGGUGGGAGGCUUUGAAGUGUGGACGCCAGUCUGCAUGGAGCCGACCUUGAAAUACCACCCUUUAAUGUUUGAUGUUCUAACGUUGACCCGUGAUCCGGGUUGCGGACAGUGUCUGGUGGGUAGUUUGACUGGGGCGGUCUCCUCCUAAAGAGUAACGGAGGAGCACGAAGGUUGGCUAAUCCUGGUCGGACAUCAGGAGGUUAGUGCAAUGGCAUAAGCCAGCUUGACUGCGAGCGUGACGGCGCGAGCAGGUGCGAAAGCAGGUCAUAGUGAUCCGGUGGUUCUGAAUGGAAGGGCCAUCGCUCAACGGAUAAAAGGUACUCCGGGGAUAACAGGCUGAUACCGCCCAAGAGUUCAUAUCGACGGCGGUGUUUGGCACCUCGAUGUCGGCUCAUCACAUCCUGGGGCUGAAGUAGGUCCCAAGGGUAUGGCUGUUCGCCAUUUAAAGUGGUACGCGAGCUGGGUUUAGAACGUCGUGAGACAGUUCGGUCCCUAUCUGCCGUGGGCGCUGGAGAACUGAGGGGGGCUGCUCCUAGUACGAGAGGACCGGAGUGGACGCAUCACUGGUGUUCGGGUUGUCAUGCCAAUGGCACUGCCCGGUAGCUAAAUGCGGAAGAGAUAAGUGCUGAAAGCAUCUAAGCACGAAACUUGCCCCGAGAUGAGUUCUCCCUGACCCUUUAAGGGUCCUGAAGGAACGUUGAAGACGACGACGUUGAUAGGCCGGGUGUGUAAGCGCAGCGAUGCGUUGAGCUAACCGGUACUAAUGAACCGUGAGGCUUAACCUU
rnacentral:rRNA from 1 species